rnacentral:rRNA from 1 species
AGCUCUCGCUAUUAGAUGAGCCUAAGUCGGAUUAGCUGGUUGGUGGGGUAAAGGCCUACCAAGGCGACGAUCUGUAGCUGGUCUGAGAGGAUGAUCAGCCACACUGGGACUGAGACACGGCCCAGACUCCUACGGGAGGCAGCAGUGGGGAAUAUUGGACAAUGGGCGAAAGCCUGAUCCAGCCAUGCCGCGUGUGUGAAGAAGGCCUUUUGGUUGUAAAGCACUUUAAGUGGGGAGGAAAAGCUUAUGGUUAAUACCCAUAAGCCCUAACGUUACCCACAGAAUAAGCACCGGCUAACUCUGUGCCAGCAGCCGCGGUAAUACAGAGGGUGCAAGCGUUAAUCGGAAUUACUGGGCGUAAAGCGCGCGUAGGUGGUUAUUUAAGUCAGAUGUGAAAGCCCCGGGCUUAACCUGGGAACUGCAUCUGAUACUGGAUAACUAGAGUAGGUGAGAGGGGAGUAGAAUUCCAGGUGUAGCGGUGAAAUGCGUAGAGAUCUGGAGGAAUACCGAUGGCGAANGCAGCUCCCUGGCAUCAUACUGACACUGAGGUGC